UAAUUUUGAUUCCAUUGGGCUGUGGAGAGGAACAAAUGAAAUAAAAACAGAAACUGCCCUUGGCACAGGAUGGACAUGAAGAAAAUACUGGUUUCCUUCCUUUCACCCACAUCUCAUCUGUGCAGUUUUUGCCUUCCAUUCAUUCAUUUAUUCAACAAAUAUUUGCUAAGGGCCAACUGAAUGCUGGCGAAUGGUGCCCUCUGCACUCAGGCAGCGUGGUGGCCCUGAUGUCCCUACCUUUAUGAAGUCUAGCCUGGUGGUAAAAAGCGAAGUGAAAUCAGAUGUUAGGGAAGUGUGGCACCUUGUUUUCUCAGCCUUGCUUUUCUAUGUCUCGUCACUCGGCUGUGAGACUAGACAUGAACUUGAUGCUCAGGGGGAAUUCUCCGAACCGACCUUGAGAACAAGACAGUGGUGACUCACACAGGUGGCUCAGAGCAUGCCAUUAAGGAGGCGUCCAAUGUUGGUCUCUUCCCUGGCCUCGGAUACUGUCCUUAGGAUAUAAAUGUGAUGGGACCUUAGAAGCAGUCUGAUCCAGGCCCCUCGUGUUUGUUACAAAUGAGGCAACUGCAGCCCUGAAAGAUGAAAUGAGUCACCCAAGGUCACACAGAGACUGGGGUGGCCAGAUCUCAGAAGAAGAGAUCAAGACCUGCAGAGAGAUGCUGCUUGAUUGGCCAAGGAGGAAAACUCAAGCAGCCUGGAGAGAGAUGGCGAAGACAGCUGGGGAAGAACCUGAGGUCCAGUUUCCAGGCAGAGGAUGUUCCCAUGAUGCCUCACGAGCUCCGUAGCUGCUAGAGUGGUCAGUCAGCUCACAAACGUCCUGCACACAGUCUGCUUUUGAUGUACCCGCCUGCCUGCCUUUUGGCAGGUUCGGAGCCCCUUUGGAGGGUGAGCCCUGUUGACAGCUUCCAGAGGUCAGAUCAAGGAGACAAAUAAAGCUCAGGUCAGCACUGCCAGGAUGGAGACACAGCUACCUGCAUCCCAGGAAUUGGCCGCAACAAAGGCCAUAGUGAGAGUGCCCCCUACAGAGCACAUCAGGGAGAAGCAGUCUGGGGGACAGGCAGCCUGAGGGGGUCUGUGAAACCAGGCAAAGGCCAUCUCCUCAUUUACUCAACCAACAGCUAUUCAUUGAACUCUUCCUAAGGUGUCAACAAGACAAAGAUGCUGGGUCCUCCUGGAGGGGAAUUUAGAAUAGCCACUUUAUGUCAAAACAUCUAGAGGGCAACCAGAUUGUUCCUCCUGGUUUUUCCUGAUUCCUGUGCACACUGUCAGGACAUCCAUUGUAAAUAGGAAGUGAUACUUGGCUAAUGGUCUUCGUUUCAUCCAGACCUCCACUUCCACCUUCUACUGGUGGAGCAGCUGGG